GACGAACGCUGGCGGCGUGCUUAACACAUGCAAGUCGAACGGUGAAGCGCCUUCCUUUUUGGUGGGUGUGGAUGAGUGGCGAACGGGUGAGUAACACGUGAGUAACCUGCCCCCUUCUUCUGGAUAACCGCAUGAAAGUGUGGCUAAUACGGGAUAUUCUGGGUCUGUCGCAUGAUGGGUCUGGGAAAGAUAUUGUUUCGGUGGGGGAUGGGCUCGCGGCCUAUCAGCUUGUUGGUGGGGUGAUGGCCUACCAAGGCGGUGACGGGUAGCCGGCCUGAGAGGGUGGACGGUCACACGGGGACUGAGACACGGCCCAGACUCCUACGGGAGGCAGCAGUGGGGAAUAUGGCACAAUGGGCGCAAGCCUGAUGCAGCGACGCCGCGUGAGGGAUGGAGGCCUGCGGGUUGUGAACCUCUUUCGCCAGUGAAGCAGGCCUGCCUCGUUUGUGGGUGGGUUGACGGUAGCUGGAUAAGAAGCGCCGGCUAACUACGUG
rnacentral:rRNA from 1 species